rnacentral:rRNA from 1 species
UACGAAGGGGGCUAGCGUUGCUCGGAAUCACUGGGCGUAAAGCGCACGUAGGCGGAUUGUUAAGUCAGGGGUGAAAUCCUGGAGCUCAACUCCAGAACUGCCUUUGAUACUGGCGAUCUUGAGUCCGGGAGAGGUGAGUGGAACUGCGAGUGUAGAGGUGAAAUUCGUAGAUAUUCGCAAGAACACCAGUGGCGAAGGCGGCUCACUGGCCCGGUACUGACGCUGACGGUGCGAAAGCGUGGGGAGCAAAGCAGGGAGUUAA